rnacentral:rRNA from 1 species
GAUGAACGCUGGCGGCGUGCCUAAUACAUGCAAGUCGAGCGAACAGACGAGGAGCUUGCUCCUCUGACGUUAGCGGCGGACGGGUGAGUAACACGUGGAUAACCUACCUAUAAGACUGGGAUAACUUCGGGAAACCGGCGCUAAUACCGGAUAAUAUAUUGAACCGCAUGGUUCAAUAGUGAAAGACGGUUUUGCUGUCACUUAUAGAUGGAUCCGCGCCGCAUUAGCUAGUUGGUAAGGUAACGGCUUACCAAGGCAACGAUGCGUAGCCGACCUGAGAGGGUGAUCGGCCACACUGGAACUGAGACACGGUCCAGACUCCUACGGGAGGCAGCAGUAGGGAAGCUUCCGCAAUGGGCGAAAGCCUGACGGAGCAACGCCGCGUGAGUGAUGAAGGUCUUCGGAUCGUAAAACUCUGUUAUUAGGGAAGAACAAAUGUGUAAGUAACUAUGCACGUCUUGACGGUACCUAAUCAGAAAGCCACGGCUAAAUACGUG